rnacentral:rRNA from 1 species
GGCGGGUGCUAUACAUGCAGUCGAGCGAAUCAUAGGAGCUUGCUCCUGUUGGUUAGCGGCGGACGGGUGAGUAACACGUGGGCAACCUGCCUGUAAGACUGGGAUAACACCGGGAAACCGGUGCUAAUACCGGAUAAUUCUUUCCCUCUCAUGAGGGAAAGUUGAAAGUCGGUUUCGGCUGACACUUACAGAUGGGCCCGCGGCGCAUUAGCUAGUUGGUGAGGUAACGGCUCACCAAGGCGACGAUGCGUAGCCGACCUGAGAGGGUGAUCGGCCACACUGGGACUGAGACACGGCCCAGACUCCUACGGGAGGCAGCAGUAGGGAAUCUCCCACAAUGGACGAGAGUCUGAUGGAGCAACGCCGCGUGAGCGAUGAAGGCCUUCGGGUCGUAAAGCUCUGUUGUUAGGGAAGAACAAGUACCGGAGUAACUGCCGGUACCUUGACGGUACCUAACCAGAAAGCCACGGCUAACUACGUGCCAGCAGCCGCGGUAAUACGUAGGUGGCAAGCGUUGUCCGGAAUUAUUGGGCGUAAUGCGCGCGCAGGCGGUCCUUUAAGUCUGAUGUGAAAGCCCACGGCUCAACCGUGGAGGGUCAUUGGAAACUGGGGGACUUGAGUGCAGAAGAGGAAAGCGGAAUUCCACGUGUA